AUGGAUUUCAUUGAGGACUUGCCUAAAUCAGAAGGAUUUAAUGCUAUUUUGGUGGUGCUGAAUCGUUUUACUGAAGUCACUCAUUUCUUGCAUCUGAAACACCCAUUCACUGCAGCUUCAGUGGCUAAAGUUUUUCUGAAUAACAUAGUCAAACUGCAUGGUCUGCCUCUGUUCAUUGUAUCUGAUCAUGACAAGAUCUUCACCAGUGCUUUUUGGAAGGAACUGUUCAGAGUAUGGGGCACUGAACUGCAAAUGAGCACAGCUUAUCAUCCUCAAAACGGAUGGACAAACCAAGAGAGUGAAUCAAUGUCUGCAGAUGUAUUUGCGUUGUGCAGUACACGAUUCACCAGCUAA
rnacentral:rRNA from 1 species